rnacentral:snRNA from 1 species
GUGCUCACUUCAGCAGCACAUAGACUGAAAUUGGAACAAUACACAGAAGAUUAGCAUGACACCUGCUCAAUGAUGUUGGAACAAUACCCAGAAGAUUAGCAUGACACCUGCUCAAUGAUGUUGUAGAAAUUCAGGAGGCAUUUCCUAUUUUU